rnacentral:rRNA from 1 species
GUUGAACGCUGGCGGCAUGCCUUACACAUGCAAGUCGAACGGCAGCACGGGGGCAACCCUGGUGGCGAGUGGCGAACGGGUGAGUAAUGCAUCGGAACGUGCCCAGUAGUGGGGGAUAACCAGUCGAAAGACUGGCUAAUACCGCAUACGACCCAAGGGUGAAAGCGGGGGACCGUAAGGCCUCGCGCUAUUGGAGCGGCCGAUGUCUGAUUAGCUAGUUGGCGGGGUAAGAGCCCACCAAGGCGACGAUCAGUAGCUGGUCUGAGAGGACGAGCAGCCACACUGGGACUGAGACACGGCCCAGACUCCUACGGGAGGCAGCAGUGGGGAAUUUUGGACAAUGGGCGCAAGCCUGAUCCAGCCAUGCCGCGUGCGGGAAGAAGGCCUUCGGGUUGUAAACCGCUUUUGGCAGGAACGAAACGGCGCAGGCCAAUACCUUGCGCUAAUGACGGUACCUGCAGAAUAAGCACCGGCUAACUACGUGCCAGCAGCCGCCGUAAUAC